AGCGUAGACGGAUAGGCAAGUCUGGAGUGAAAACCCAGGGCUCAACCUUGGGACUGCUUUGGAAACUGCAGAUCUGGAGUGCCGGAGAGGUAAGCGGAAUUCCUAGUGUAGCGGUGAAAUGCGUAGAUAUUAGGAGGAACACCAGUGGCGAAGGCGGCUUACUGGACGGUGACUGACGUUGAGGCUCGAAAGCGUGGGGAGCAAACA
rnacentral:rRNA from 1 species